AACGAACGCUGGCGGCAUGCCUAACACAUGCAAGUCGAACGAGACCUUCGGGUCUAGUGGCGCACGGGUGCGUAACGCGUGGGAACCUUCCCUUAGGUUCGGAAUAACUCCCCGAAAGGGGUGCUAAUACCGGAUAAUGUCUUCGGACCAAUGAUUUAUCGCCUUUGGAUGGGCCCGCGUUGGAUUAGCUAGUUGGUAGGGUAAAAGCCUACCAAGGCGACGAUCCAUAGCUGGUCUGAGAGGAUGAUCAGCCACACUGGGACUGAGACACGGCCCAGACUCCUACGGGGGGCAGCAGUGGGGAAUAUUGGACAAUGGGCGAAAGCCUGAUCCAGCAAUGCCGCGUGAGUGAUGAAGGCCUUAGGGUUGUAAAGCUCUUUUACCCGGGAUGAUAAUGACAGUACCGGGAGGAUAAGCUCCGGCUAACUCCGU
rnacentral:rRNA from 1 species